rnacentral:rRNA from 1 species
GAUGAACGCUGGCGGCGUGCCUAACACAUGCAAGUCGAACGAAUUGCUUUAAAGGAAGUUUUCGGAUGGAAUUUAAAGUAGUUAGUGGCGGACGGGUGAGUAACGCGUGGGAAACCUGCCCUAUACAGGGGGAUAGCCUCGGGAAACUGGGAUUAAUACCCCAUAAAACUCUAGUAUCGCAUGAUACAUGAGCCAAAGAUUUAUCGGUAUAGGAUGGUCCCGCGUCUGAUUAGCUAGUCGGUGAGGUAACGGCUCACCAAGGCGACGAUCAGUAGCCGGCCUGAGAGGGUGAACGGCCACACUGGAACUGAGACACGGUCCAGACUCCUACGGGAGGCAGCAGUGGGGAAUAUUGCACAAUGGGGGAAACCCUGAUGCAGCGACGCCGCGUGAGCGAAGAAGGCCUUCGGGUCGUAAAGCUCUGUCCUAAGGGAAGAAACGGACGGUACCUUAGGAGGAAGCCCCGGCUAACUACGUG